UGCUAGUUGCACGAGUUCAUACUCGUGGCGAAAGCUCAGUAACACGUGGCCAAACUACCCUACAGAGAACGAUAACCUCGGGAAACUGAGGCUAAUAGUUCAUACGGGAGUCAUGCUGGAAUGCCGACUCCCCGAAACGCUCAGGCGCUGUAGGAUGUGGCUGCGGCCGAUUAGGUAGACGGUGGGGUAACGGCCCACCGUGCCGAUAAUCGGUACGGGUUGUGAGAGCAAGAGCCCGGAGACGGAAUCUGAGACAAGAUUCCGGGCCCUACGGGGCGCAGCAGGCGCGAAACCUUUACACUGCACGCAAGUGCGAUAAGGGGACCCCAAGUGCGAGGGCAUAUAGUCCUCGCUUUUCUCGACUGUAAGGCGGUCGAGGAAUAAGAGCUGGGCAAGACCGGUGCCAGCCGCCGCGGUAAUACCGGCAGCUCAAGUGAUGACCGAUAUUAUUGGGCCUAAAGCGUCCGUAGCCGGCCACGAAGGUUCAUCGGGAAAUCCGCCAGCUCAACUGGCGGGCGUCCGGUGAAAACCACGUGGCUUGGGACCGGAAGGCUCGAGGGGUACGUCCGGGGUAGGAGUGAAAUCCCGUAAUCCUGGACGGACCACCGAUGGCGAAAGCACCUCGAGAAGACGGAUCCGACGGGAGACGAA
rnacentral:rRNA from 1 species